CGAAAGCCUGACGGAGCAACGCCGCGUGAGGGAUGAAGGCCUCUGGGCUGUAAACCUCUUUUAUCAAGGAAGAAGAUCUGACGGUACUUGAUGAAUAAGCCACGGCUAAUUCCGUGCCAGCAGCCGCGGUAAUACGGGAGUGGCAAGCGUUAUCCGGAAUUAUUGGGCGUAAAGCGUCCGCAGGCGGUCUUGUAAGUCUGUCGUCAAAGCGUGGAGCUUAACUCCAUUUCUGCGAUGGAAACUGCAAGACUAGAGUGUGGUAGGGGCAGAGGGAAUUCCCGGUGUAGCGGUGAAAUGCGUAGAUAUCGGGAAGAACACCAGUGGCGAAGGCGCUCUGCUGGGCCAUAACUGACGCUCAUGGACGAAAGCCAGGGGAGCG
rnacentral:rRNA from 1 species